GAUGAACGCUGGUGGCGUGCCUAAUACAUGCAAGUCGAGCGAACAGACGAGGAGCUUGCUCCUCUGACGUUAGCGGCGGACGGGUGAGUAACACGUGGAUAACCUACCUAUAAGACUGGGAUAACUUCGGGAAACCGGAGCUAAUACCGGAUAACAUGUUGAACCGCAUGGUUCAACAGUGAAAGACGGUCUUGCUGUCACUUAUAGAUGGAUCCGCGCCGCAUUAGCUAGUUGGUAAGGUAACGGCUUACCAAGGCAACGAUGCGUAGCCGACCUGAGAGGGUGAUCGGCCACACUGGAACUGAGACACGGUCCAGACUCCUACGGGAGGCAGCAGUAGGGAAUCUUCCGCAAUGGGCGAAAGCCUGACGGAGCAACGCCGCGUGAGUGAAGAAGGUCUUCGGAUCGUAAAACUCUGUUAUUAGGGAAGAACAAAUGUGUAAGUAACUAUGCACGUCUUGACGGUACCUAAUCAGAAAGCCACGGCUAACUACGUG
rnacentral:rRNA from 1 species